UUAGCCCACGUAUCAGAUAUUAAACUGAUAAGAACAGAUACCACACUUGAUCUUAGCCAAAAGGCCGAGAAAGGUAUGAGUUGCAACCCACGCCACCCCCUCCUUAUAGCCUCGCCGACCCCCUCAGUCCCUCUCGCUGCGCGAUGUGGGACUAAACGUAACGACCAACCUCUGCUCCUCGCACGCACCCGCACCGGGUUCGCUGAAGCUAACCGCGGGUGGGCUUUUGUUUCCGCAGCCCGAUGGGCUUUGACUUGA
rnacentral:rRNA from 1 species